UUCAAUGCUACUAAAAAUAAUUCUGAUGAAAGCAGGUUGACAGUAGUGCCCAUGUACUUAACUGAGGAUGCCAAGUUGUGGUGGCGUACGAAAGUGGAAGAAACUAUAUCCGGGCAGUGCUCAAUUGCUAGUUGGGAUGACUUUAAAAGGGAACUAAAAGCGCAAUUUUACCCUGAGAAUGUUGCCUAUAACGCACGGUGCAAAUUAAAUGAUUUACAGCAAACAGGUUCCAUUCGGGAGUAUGUAAGGGAAUUCUCGACAUUAAUGCUAAAUAUCAAGGAUAUGACAGGGACAGAUAGGCUAUUCAACUUUCUAAAAGGUUUGAAACCUUGGGUGAAGAACGAGUUGAUGAGACAGAAUGUGAAAGAACUAAAGACAGCCUUGGCCAUAGCAGAAAGUCUAGAUGAUUAUUCUGCUAAUACUUCUAAAAGGAAGUUUGAUUCCUCACCAAGCCUAGACAAUCGCCCUAAAUGGGGCAAGUUUUCAAGUGGGGGAGUGAACAAGGAUUACUCCCCAUUUGAAGGGACAAAAAGUAAGAGUUGGGGCUUUAAGACUAGAGCAGAUAGGCCAACCAAUUUAGGGAGAGAGCCAAAUGAGAGAGGAUCAUGGAAUGACCAAUCCCCGAGAAUAAAUAGCAUGAUAAUGACUGAGCCUAAACAAUGGAAAUGCUACCUUUGUGAUGGAUCACAUCGUUUCACUGAUUGCCCACAUAAGAGUACAUUUAAUGUUUUACGAGCAAUUCGAGAAGAGGAGAAAGGCCUCAAAGGAAAGGAACAAAGGGAAGAUGAUAGUACUCCAUCAAUGGUAGGUGCCAUACGCUUUCUUGGAGCUCUGAAGAAGCAAAAACAUAAACCAUCCACUGAGAAAGGAUUGAUCUAUGUUGAUUUAUGGAUUAAUGGGAAAGCAGCAAGAGCUUUAGUAGACACUGGAGCCACUGAUAAUUUCAUAGCUGAUAGGGCAGCAUUACAGUUUCAGCUGAACAUGCAAGAAGAUACAGGGAAGAUCAAAGCAGUUAACUCUAAGGCAACAAACAUUGUGGGAGUGGCUCGCAGAGUAUCUUGUCAGAUGGGGCCUUGGAAUGGUGAGAUUGAUUUUACAGUAAUCCCUCUCGAUGAUUUUGAUGUGGUGAUUGGAAUGGAAUUUCUGAAGAAAGCACGGGCCAUCCCCAUUCCAAUAGCAGACUGUCUCUUAUUGAUGGGGGAUAAACCUUGCAUCGUCCCGACAAACUUUAUUUCCAUUUGCGAAAAGAAAUUGAUAGCUUCUCUUCAGCUCACAAGGAGUGCUAAAAAUACGGAACCAACUCAUACAAGAGACAAACAUGAAAUCAUUAUUGUGACCUGGUAUGAUAACUAUAAACUUCUUGUUAUGCCUUUUAAACUAAUAAAUACUUUGGCUACUUGUUGCAUUAUAGCAAACCAGGUGUUUCGGAAGACGCAAGACAACUUCCUAAGCUAUGAAUCCCAACAGAGUAGAGAUCACACCACAUCCUACUUCUUAAAGGAGUGGGAUCAAGAUGGAGAAGAGACAAGGGUCCAAUUAGAACAAGCAUCAAAUCAGAUGAAGGAUUGGGCAAUUGAAAACCAACAACAAGAAUCGCAAGCUGAGGAUCAAAUGAUGAUGAUACGACUACCAGACCAACUAACUUGCAGAGCAGAGUUAUCAAAAUGGAUGAAGAUUCAGUCACUUUGCCAUGCUACUAGUACAAAGCAACACCAUGCAGAAGAGAUAGAUCCUAGCCGUGAUAAAUCCACCAAAGCUGUAGAAGAAAAUCAAUCAGAGCAAGCUGUCAAAACUACCCAGAGUCAAGCAUACAAGGAGUACCUCAUCAAAUUAGAAACAUACACCCAACCACAAGGGCAGCACAGUGGAGGGUUCUUGCAAGUGCAAUCCUGGUUGUAAAUACGCACUGCACUCUUUUUCCUUCACCAAGGUUUUUCCCACUGGGUUUUACUUGGUCAAGGUUUUUUAAUGAGGCAGUAUCCCAUCGCGUAUCUUACAACCACAUGCACAUAAGACUGAAGAGUUGCCAUAAGCUUAGUCGACGAGGACGUCGACCGUUCAAGUGGGGGAGAAUGUAAAGGGGUUAGAAAGUUUAAGUAGUAAUAUGUAAAUUUUAGAGAUUAAAUGAGAUAUUUUGUAAUUAUUUUAUAUU
rnacentral:misc_RNA from 1 species